rnacentral:rRNA from 1 species
GACGAACGCUGGCGGCGUGCUUAACACAUGCAAGUCGAACGGAAAGGCCCUGCUUGCAGGGUACUCGAGUGGCGAACGGGUGAGUAACACGUGGGUGAUCUGCCCUGCACUUCGGGAUAAGCUUGGGAAACUGGGUCUAAUACCGGAUAGGACCGCACUUUAGUGUGUGUGGUGGAAAGUUUUUUCGGUGUAGGAUGAGCUCGCGGCCUAUCAGCUUGUUGGUGGGGUAAUGGCCUACCAAGGCGGCGACGGGUAGCCGGCCUGAGAGGGUGUACGGCCACAUUGGGACUGAGAUACGGCCCAGACUCCUACGGGAGGCAGCAGUGGGGAAUAUUGCACAAUAGGCGCAAGCCUGAUGCAGCGACGCCGCGUGGGGGAUGAAGGCCUUCGGGUUGUAAACUCCUUUCGCUAGGGACGAAGCUUUUUGUGACGGUACCUAGAUAAGAAGCACCGGCUAACUACGUG